rnacentral:tRNA from 1 species
UAGGAGUUACUUUUUUGCUUACAACAAAAUAAAAUAAAGCUCCUUC